rnacentral:rRNA from 11 species
GGGUAGCGUCGUGUGGCGGGUGAAGCGGCGGGGUGACCCAGUCGUGGACGCCACACGAGUGAGAAUGCAGGCAUGAGUAGCGAAUGAGGAGUGAGAAACUCCUCCACCGAAUGACCAAGGGUUCCUGGGCCAGGUUUAUCCGCCCAGGGUGAGUCGGGACCUAAGGCGAGGCCGACAGGCGUAGUCGAUGGACAACGGGUUGAUAUUCCCGUACCGGCGAAGAACCGCCCAAGACAAUCCAGUAGUGCUAAGUAUCUGAAUCCCUUUGAUGGAUCCCUUCGGGGUGAAGCGUUGGGCCUAGCGUACGACCCCGUGCUGGUGCGUUUAGCGUAUUAACAGGUGUGACGCAGGAAGGUAGCCGAGCCGGGCGAUGGUUGUCCCGGUCUAAGGAUGUAGGGCGAACGAUAGGCAAAUCCGUCGUUCACAUAGCCUGAGAUCUGAUGGGUAGACGCAAGUCGAAAUCGGUGAUCCUAUGCUGCCAAGAAAAGCAUCGACGCGAGGUUCUAGCUGCCCGUACCCCAAACCGACUCAGGUGGUCAGGUAGAGAAUACUAAGGAGAUCGAGAGAAUCGUGGUUAAGGAACUCGGCAAAAUGCCCCCGUAACUUCGGGAGAAGGGGGGCCUGAGGCGUGAACGGACUUGCUCCGGGAGCGUUCGAUGGCCGCAGAGACCAGUGGGAAGCGACUGUUUACUAAAAACACAGGUCCAUGCGAAGUCGCAAGACGAUGUAUACGGACUGACGCCUGCCCGGUGCUGGAAGGUUAAGAGGAACGGUUAGCCGCAAGGCGAAGCUGAGAAUUUAAGCCCCAGUAAACGGCGGUGGUAACUAUAACCAUCCUAAGGUAGCGAAAUUCCUUGUCGGGUAAGUUCCGACCU